rnacentral:lncRNA from 1 species
UGCCAAUGGAAAAAUUUCAGGGAAAGAAGUAUGCUAACUCUUUGAAUCCAGAAAAUGAAGUGUUUGGAGAAAAUGCCUGCAGAAACCUACACUGCAUCAGAGAAUCCAGAAUGAACUUUGAGGUGUAAUUGAUUGAACUGAAGGGGGUUGGACACAUUUAUUUUGAAUGUAAACUUUUAUGCCAAAGGGGACUGCCCUCUAAUUGGCUUUUUGUCAAUUUGCCUAGCAAACAUUGGUUUUGCUCUCUCUUUCUUCUAUUUCUUUCUUAUCUUUAACUAUUGUAGUUUCCUCUUAGAAGGGGCAAUAUUAUAUGCACCUGUAGUUAGAAGAUUUUUAGGGGUAUAAGAUGAUAAUGUCAAAUGAUCCUUUGGGGAGACUAGUCUCCCCAAAGGAUCACAAGGGAAUGUAAAGAUGGAAUUAACUCUUCACUCACCUACUUUUAAAUUUAAUCACCAGAAGCAAAAACACCCUUACUUAAUUCCUAAGUGGGAGAGAUCCGCAACCCAUGUGCUAAAAUUCUGACAACUCAGAAAUGACUGACUGCCCCCUAGGCAGUCCUAAGCAAAGUUAUAGACUGCAAUUGGUCCCUGUCAAGUAGAUAAAGGCACAGGAAAUAAUGAAAAGAAAAGUGGCUUUAAAAGUGGCUGCAACUUCCUGUGAGUGAGUCUUUUUGAAGCUCUAGAGGCUAGUGGAGGAUCUUCCUCAGUGUGUGAGAUUUAAAAUGGUUGAGGUCUUAAAUUGUAGUGAUUAAAAUAGUGGAAGAUAUAAAUUAUGAUAGAUAUAAGAGAGGGUGAGUAAAUUUGACCGCAGAAAAUAUGUUUCACUACAGUGUCUUGGUUUUUAAAUCAAAUAUAAGAUGGUUGCCGGGGAAAUAUUCCCAAUUAUUCAAAUACCCAAGUCAACUGGGUUUUAUAGAGAUUUUUAAUUAAUAAUAUAAUGAGGAAUGAGAGAAAGAAUAGGAAAAGAAUAAUUAUGAAGGGCCUCAAGCCAAUAUGGCCUAGACCUGAGUCUUAAGAGAGAGAAUCAGUUAGUCAGUCUUUUAACACUCACCACAAGGUCUGC